UCCCUCGUGGCUCAGAUGGUAAAGCGUCUGCCUAAGAUGCAGGAGACCUGGGUUCGAUUCUUGGGUGGGGAA
rnacentral:tRNA from 1 species